CCUACGGGAGUGCAGCAGUGGGGAAUUUUGCGCAAUGCUCGUAAGAGUGACGCAGCGACGCCGCGUGAAUGACGAAGGCCUUCGGGUCGUAAAGUUCUUUCGACAGGGCAGAAAAUGCAUAUAAGUAACUGUGUUUGUAUUGACGGUACCUGUAUAAGCAGCCCCGGCUAACUCAGUGCCCGCAGCCGCGGUAAUACGGAGGGGGCGAGCGUUGUUCGGAGGGACUGGGGGUAAAGAGCACGUAGGCGGUGUUGUAAGUCAUUAGUCAAAGACUAGAGCUCAACUUUAGUAAGGCUAGUGAGACUAUAAGACUGGAGUAUCAGAGAGGAUUGCAGAAUGCGUGGUGUAGCGGUGAAAUGCGUAGAUAUCAGGAAGAAUACCGUUAGCGAAGGCGGCAAUCUGGCUGGAAACUGACGCUGAGGUGCGAAAGCGUGGGUAGCAAACAGGAUUAGAUACCCGAGUAGUC
rnacentral:rRNA from 1 species